GACGAACGCUGGCGGCGUGCUUAACACAUGCAAGUCGAACGGACAGGCCCUGCUUUUGUGGGGUGCUCGAUUGGCGAACGGGUGAGUAACACGUGAGUAACCUGCCCUUGACUUUGGGAUAACUCCAGGAAACAGGGGCUAAUACCGGGUAGGAGCUCCUGCUGCGUGGUGGUGGUUGGUAAGUUUCGGCGGUUCGGGGUGGACUAGCGGCUUAUCAGCUUGUUGGUGGGGUAGUGGCUUACCCAGGUUUUGACGGGUAGCCGGCCUGGGAGGGUGACCGGCCACAUUGGGACUGAGAGACGGCCCAGACUCCUACGGGAGGCAGCAGUGGGGAAGCUUGCACAAGGGGCGGAAGCCUGAUGCAGCAACGCCGCGUGCGGGAUGACGGCGUUCGGGUUGUAAACCGCUUUCGCCUGUGACGAAGCGUGAGUGACGGUAAUGGGUAAAGAAGCACCGGCUAACUACGUGC
rnacentral:rRNA from 1 species